rnacentral:lncRNA from 1 species
UGACGGUGGCAUUGCAUAUUAUUUUGUUUUUCUUUAAAAGAUGUAGCUGCUGGAAGCACACGGACCUUUCAUCUUUGCUGGAGGAAAAGUAGAAGCAAACAGUGAUUGAUGGGAGAUGGAGGUUCCACGCAUUUAAGGAAGUCAUUCCUCAACAUUUACUUUCUUUCAAGUUGAUUUUCAUUUUAAGUUACUCGCUGGUGGCAUAGUUUAUAAAUUUGAUUCAUUUCCUUUCUUUAGAUAAGUAAGUGUUGCACGGUGUUUUAGGAUUGUUUCUUAUUCUAGUUUAAAUGUUCACUUUAUUAUUAGUUAAAUAUUGCAAUUUACCAUUCCCG